UCGGCUCAAGAUCAUACGUUCAUCUUCAGCUACAUUACUACGCAUCAAAAAUUCAUCAAAUUGGGCGAUGUAUUCAGUAGCUGUGCGACUACCUUGUCUUAAAUUGUUCCAUCGAUCUAAGAGGUCAGAUUGAUAACUUAAUGGAAGGUAUUUUUCUUUUAAUUUUUCUUUCAUCUCUACCCAAUCGGUAAUAGCAGGUUGAUGUCUCCUGGCUAACAGUUGUUCGGUGUUUUGCCAAAACAAUUUAGCUCGACCAAGGAGUUUCAUUCUAGCGAAUCAGACCUUUUUCUCCUCCGACAGAUUGUACCACUCAAAGAAGUGAUCCAUUUCGUGUAGCCAAUCGGAGAAGAUCUUCGGAUC
rnacentral:lncRNA from 1 species